UACGAGGGGGGCAAAUGUUGUUCGGAAUCACUGGGCGUAAAGGGAGCGUAGGCGGGUUUCUAAGUCAGGUGUUUAAUCCCGGGGCCCAACCCCGGACAGGCACUUGAAACUGGGAAUCUUGAAUAGUAGAGAGGUCAGUGGAAUUGGGGGUGUAGCGGUGGAAUGCGUAGAGAUCCCCAAGAACACCAGUUGCGAAGGCGGCUGACUGGACACAUAUUGACGCUGAGGCUCGAAAGCAUGGGGAGCAAACAGG
rnacentral:rRNA from 1 species